rnacentral:rRNA from 1 species
GCUUGCUACCUGACCUAGCGGCGGACGGGUGAGUAAUGCUUAGGAAUCUGCCUAUUAGUGGGGGACAACGUUCCGAAAGGAACGCCAAUACCGCAUACGUCCUACGGGGGAAAGCAGGGGAUCUUCGGACCUUGCGCUAAUAGAUGAGCCUAAGUCGGAUUAGCUAGUUGGUGGGGUAAAGGCCUACCAAGGCGACGAUCUGUAGCGGGUCUGAGAGGAUGAUCCGCCACACUGGGACUGAGACACGGCCCAGACUCCUACGGGAGGCAGCAGUGGGGAAUAUUGGACAAUGGGCGCAAGCCUGAUCCAGCCGUGCCGCGUGUGUGAAGAAGGCCUUUUGGUUGUAAAGCACUUUAAGCGAGGAGGAGGCUCCUUUAGUUAAUACCUAAAGUGAGUGGACGUUACUCGCAGAAUAAGCACCGGCUAACUCUGUGCCAGCAGCCGCGGUAAUACAGAGGGUGCGAGCGUUAAUCGGAUUUACUGGGCGUAAAGCGUGCGUAGGCGGCUUUUUAAGUCGGAUGUGUAAUCCCUGAGCUUAACUUACGAAUUGCAUUCGAUACUGGAGAGCUAGAGUAUGGGAGAGGAUGGUAGAACUCCAGGUGUAACGGUGAAAUGCGUAGAGAUCUGGAGGAAUACCGAUAGCGAACGCAGCCAUCUGGUCUAAUACCGACGCUGAGGUACGAAAGCAUGCGGAGCAAACAUGAUUAGAUACCCUGGUAGUCCAUGCCGUAAGCGAUGUCUACUAGCCGCUUGGGGCCCUUUGAGGCUUUAGUGGCGCAGCUGAUCGCGAUCAGUACGAUCGUCCUGGGGCAGUACAGGCCGCAUGACUAAAACUCAAAUGAAUUGACGGGG